CCUACGGGGGGCAGCAGUGGGGAAUAUUGGGCAAUGGGCGCAAGCCUGACCCAGCAACGCCGCGUGAAGGAAGAAGGCUUUCGGGUUGUAAACUUCUUUUGUCAGGGACGAAGCAAGUGACGGUACCUGACGAAUAAGCCACGGCUAACUACGUGCCAGCAGCCGCGGUAAUACGUAGGUGGCAAGCGUUAUCCGGAUUUAUUGGGUUUAAAGGGUGCGUAGGCGGACAGUCAAGUCAGCGGUAAAAAUGCGGUGCUCAACGCCGUACAGCCGUUGAAACUGGCAGUCUUGAGUGGGCGAGAGGUAGGCGGAAUGCGUGGUGUAGCGGUGAAAUGCAUAGAUAUCACGCAGAACUCCGAUUGCGAAGGCAGCAUACCGGCGCCCGACUGACGCUGAGGCACGAAAGCGUGGGUAGCGAACAGGAUUAGAUACCCCAGUAGUC
rnacentral:rRNA from 1 species